GUUAUGUGUUAAGGGGGGGGCAAUCACUUUUUCCACACAGGGCCAUGUAGGUUUGGAUUUUUUUUCUCCCUUAAUAAUAAAAGGUUUCGUUUAUAAACUGCAUUUUGUGUUCAGUUGUUUUGUUAUUAACUAACAUUUAAAUGUGCUUGGUGAUCUGAAACAUUUAAGUGUGACAAACAUGCAAACAAAGAAAUCAGGACGGGGGCAAGGACUUUGUCACACCACCGUACAUACAACAUCUAAAUGACAUCAGUUAGGCCAUCCAUUUUUGAAUCCACAAACAAGACAUUCAUGAGAGAAUCCAUGCACUUCAUGAAACCGGUGAAAAGGAACAAGGAAUGGAAGGAACAACAGUAAAAAAACAGUGAAGUGAAGCUCAGGUGGUUUUCAAUCCACCUGAGAUGGAAGAUCUUACCUCAUGAAGAGGAACAUUUCUCGGAAAGCAGGAAUGCCUCUGAUUCAUGAUGCACUGGGGCACAGGAGAGGGACCCUUAAUGGCUUAGAGUGCAGUCUGGCAGUGGACACACGUCUGAGUGAUACAUUGUCUUGGCCAGAUAAAAGGAGGGAAAAACAUCGUCAUUUGGAAUCGGAAGCAGCCUCAAAAUCUGGCAGAAUGGCUCGGACCGCCAGCCGUCCACUAUCACCAAAGGGUUUCGAAUGGCUGGACGUCUGCAUGAUGAAGAGGACAGCUAAAUUUGUGACAAAAGUGACACCGAUAGCGACAACGAAAGAGGGAGCGAGACCGACGUGUGUGACGAAGGAAUUAUGAAUCUGUUCAAAUGUUCCGCUGAAGACGAUGACUUUAGUGGGUUUAGUUCCCAGGAGGAGGAUGUGGACGGAGAUGAAUGACUUUUCUGGCAGGCUACUAUUUAACCAGCUGUAUGACAUGCACUGUUUGGGGAAAAACAUUUAUUUUAUCAAAAAUUAAAAGAAAAAUUCUGUGUAACAAAGGGGUGUGUGUGUGUAUGUCUGAGAGAGAGAGAGAAAUAUGCAUGUCUGUGUCUGCUUCCGCCCAAUAAUAAGUGCACUUGUUUUUAAUAUUUACCAUUUAAAGGCUUGUGGUUUGAAAUGUGUACACAUUUAGCUGAUAU